rnacentral:rRNA from 1 species
CUACGGGUUGCACCAGUGGGGAAUUUUGCGCAAUGGGGGAAACCCUGACGCAGCAAUACCGCGUGAGUGAAGAAGGCCUUUGGGUCGUAAAGCUCUUUUCUUGGGGAAGAUAGUGACGGUACCCAAGGAAUAAGCACCGGCUAACUCCGUGCCAGCAGCCGCGGUAAUACGGAGGGUGCAAGCGUUGUUCGGAUUUACUGGGCGUAAAGGGCACGUAGGCGGCACAGCAAGUUAAGGGUGAAAUCCCGGGGCUCAACUCCGGAACUGCUCUUAAAACUGCUGAGCUAGAGAUAGUCAGAGGCGGGUGGAAUUCCAGGUGUAGAGGUGAAAUUCGUAGAUACCUGGAGGAACACCGGUAGCGAAGGCGGCCCGCUGGGGCUAUUCUGACGCUAAGGUGCGAAAGCGUGGGGAGCAAACGGGAUUAGAUACCCGAGUAGUC